AAACCGUUCGGGGGUAAACGGACAGAGCCCGUGAAUCCGGGCGGCAGAAUUCAGAAUCGAUGGACGCGCUCGCGUAAGCGGCUGUGCGCGUUUCGUCGUUUUAAUAUUUCCGUCGCCGUACGAAAAGUGGACGUCGCGACCCGUUCGGCGUCGGUCACAGGAGUCGCGGUAAAGUUCGCCUCCGCGUUUCGCUCUCGGGUGGGGCGCGGUGGCGAGUUCGCGGAGUCUUUUCCGACUGACUCGCCGGACGGUACGCCAUCGGUGGCCUUUGUCGUAGCUCUCCGGAGCGUUAUUACAAAUGGUGCCGGUCUGCGACGAAUUUUCGGGCCUCUUUCCGA
rnacentral:rRNA from 1 species